AAUCCAUAGGUUAAUGAGGCGAACCGGGGGAACUGAAACAUCUAAGUACCCCGAGGAAAAGAAAUCAACCGAGAUUCCCCCAGUAGCGGCGAGCGAACGGGGAGGAGCCCAGAGCCUGAAUCAGCAUGUGUGUUAGUGGAAGCGUCUGGAAAGGCGCGCGAUACAGGGUGACAGCCCCGUACACAAAAGCGCAUGUGCUGUGAGCUCGAUGAGUAGGGCGGGACACGUGGUAUCCUGUCUGAAUAUGGGGGGACCAUCCUCCAAGGCUAAAUACUCCUGACUGACCGAUAGUGAACCAGUACCGUGAGGGAAAGGCGAAAAGAACCCCGGCGAGGGGAGUGAAAAAGAACCUGAAACCGUGUACGUACAAGCAGUGGGAGCACCCUUUGGGUGUGACUGCGUACCUUUUGUAUAAUGGGUCAGCGACUUAUAUUCUGUAGCAAGGUUAACCGAAUAGGGGAGCCGGAGGGAAACCGAGUCUUAACCGGGCGUUAAGUUGCAGGGUAUAGACCCGAAACCCGGUGAUCUAGCCAUGGGCAGGUUGAAGGUUGGGUAACACUAACUGGAGGACCGAACCGACUAAUGUUGAAAAAUUAGCGGAUGACCUGUGGCUGGGGGUGAAAGGCCAAUCAAACCGGGAGAUAGCUGGUUCUCCCCGAAAGCUAUUUAGGUAGCGCCUCGUGAAUUCAUCUCCGGGGGUAGAGCACUGUUUCGGCUAGGGGGCCAUCCCGGCUUACCAACCCGAUGCAAACUGCGAAUACCGGAGAAUGUUAUCACGGGAGACACACGGCGGGUGCUAACGUCCGUCGUGAAGAGGGAAACAACCCAGACCGCCAGCUAAGGUCCCAAAGUCAUGGUUAAGUGGGAAACGAUGUGGGAAGGCCCAGACAGCCAGGAUGUUGGCUUAGAAGCAGCCAUCAUUUAAAGAAAGCGUAAUAGCUCACUGGUCGAGUCGGCCUGCGCGGAAGAUGUAACGGGGCUAAACCAUGCACCGAAGCUGCGGCAGCGACACUGUGUGUUGUUGGGUAGGGGAGCGUUCUGUAAGCCUGUGAAGGUGUGUCGUGAGGCAUGCUGGAGGUAUCAGAAGUGCGAAUGCUGACAUAAGUAACGAUAAAGCGGGUGAAAAGCCCGCUCGCCGGAAGACCAAGGGUUCCUGUCCAACGUUAAUCGGGGCAGGGUGAGUCGACCCCUAAGGCGAGGCCGAAAGGCGUAGUCGAUGGGAAACGGGUUAAUAUUCCCGUACUUGGUGUUACUGCGAAGGGGGGACGGAGAAGGCUAUGUUGGCCGGGCGAC
rnacentral:rRNA from 1 species